CUGUUCAUGACAUUUCAUGGAAGUGAGACAUUAACCAAGGAUCGGAAUCCAGUUUUACUGUGAACGGGACGGUGUAGAAAAAAGAUUCUUUUAAAAAAAGAAAAACUUUUUGUAGGGAGGUGUACAGAUGGAGUGAGGUGAGCCAUGUGAUGGUCCACGUGGCGCUAAGGCGAGAAGCACCGGCACUGAAACGCAUAGGAUCUAUCUGCAGCGGUACAUAGCCAUAGGCAGAGAGAGAGGGUGAGGGUCGUGUGAAUGUGAAGAAACCAAACAAAAACGAAACGAAACGAAACGAAACGAAACGAAACCACUCACUCGUGUGUGUUGGUGGGUAGUGUGCUUGCUACUAUACCAUGGAUUCCCAUUCCCCUGUUCUCACCUCAACGACGUCGUUGUCGUCAAUGUCGAAGCGUCCGUGUCCGUCCCAAAACCCUAGAGCGGAGAACCUGGGAGAGGUGGAGCGUCGGCUUGAGGCGUUUCUCUCCCUCUCGGACGUGGCUUCUCUCUCCCUUGAUCUCUCCUUCGAGAGGCUCCUCCAAUCGGUCCCCUCCGACGCCGACUCCGAUCUCAUCGAUCGCGCCCUCAAAAUGGCCUCUCUCCUCCUCGACGCCGCCAAACACUCCUCCCGCAAACGCGCUUCCAACCACAAUUCCCUCUCCUGGCCCCUCCCUCCCGACCUCACCAUCAAGGUGUUCUCGAUGCUUGAUACCCAGAGCCUGUGCUAUGCUUCGGCUGCUUGUUCACUGUUUAGCAAAUGUGCUAAAGAUCCUAUGUGCUAUGCAAAUCUUGAUUUGACGACGCUGGUUCCGAAGGUUAACAAUGCAGUUGUUGCCACGAUGGUUCAGCGAGCUGGAAAGGCACUAAGGUCUCUUAAGCUUGGUGUUGUCCCUGGCGCUACUACUUCACUUGGAUCUUGUCCACCAUUUGCUUGUACCAUCAGAAAUGCUAUUGUAGAAGUAUCUAACUUUUCAUGGAAUGAUAAGAGAUCUCGACAAGGGAGAGAGUCAUCCAUUCUCACAAGAUGCUGUUUAAGCCCUUUAAGUGGGGAUGGCGGUGCCCCAGGGGCUCUUUUGAGAAAGUUGCACUUGUACAAUAUCGAGAGAAUGGAUAAUGCAUCCCUUGGUGCAGCAUUGUCAGCAUGCCCUUCUCUCCUUGAUUUGGAAAUUGUUGGGCUCCAUGUUGAGCUGAGGCAAACAUUAAUGUCAGUUAGUGCAAACUGCCACUUGAUAGAGCGUUUGUUUUUUGAGUCUUCUAAAACAGGUAGAGAUGACAGCUUGAAAGCGCAAACCUGUUUUGAGCUGGUAAACAAUUGUCCUCAUCUAACUUCUUUAUCCCUUAGAGGGUUUAAGCUACACGAUUGCAAAGUUCGCGUCCUGGUUAAGGGAUUUAGGAAACUGAAAUAUGUUGAUUUUUCAACAUCCUAUUCAAUCACUGGUAACUUCUUAAGAAACCUUGGAAGCUGCAAUGGUGGGAACUUACUUGAGGUCUUAAUUUUAAGGGAUUGCAUGCAUCUCAAAGAGAUGGAAGUCGCUAAGCUACUGACUGCAAUUCUUGCAGGAGAUUUCAAAUUGCUUGUACAUCUUGACAUAUCCAAUAGGGAAGGCUUAGCAUCUGAGGCUGACUGGUAUCACAGGUGCUACAACUCUAGUAUUAUGCCUAUAAAACAGGUUUUGGAAGCAAGACCUGAUAUGUGUCUGGUGGCUGAAUAUCCAUCAGCAGAAGGAAGUUACAUCGAGACAUUCGAUGCUGAUAUGAACAGCGAGAUAAGUUUGCCAUCACAAUUGAGCAGCCACACGUCAGAUGGAUCAAUUUUUAUGAGUACAUCUGAAAGCAGCUACAAUAGUGAUCAAGGAAGUGGCAAUGAGGAUGGUCAAGAUGCCAACUAUGUGAUAUAUGAGGAAAGCUCAGAUGAGAUUGACUUUUUGUCCCUCUAGGGAAUCCUCCUUGUGAGGCAUCAGUUUAGAAGGACAAUAAUCUAGUGAACUUGGGGAGCGGUAGGGGAAGAACGAUGCCACAGGAUGGAUGUCAAUAUGGAUCCUGGAUUUUUCAACUUUCAUUUUGUCCUUCUCUGUGUUUUGAAGUUCUUCAUUUUGUUUUCAAUCUGGGAGGACAAUUGGAGAUCAGUUGCAAUUUUUUAAAAGUUGGCCUCUGUUUCCAUAUUUGCAGAAACGUAAAUAUACUGCUGCUCCAUCCCACUAGCUCCCCCCCAAAAAAGAGGUUAUUUUCCCUCGGCAUCAAUCCAUAGUGCCGGGAUUUAUUUUUGGUUCUAAUGUAGGAGAGGUCUUGAGUUAUGAUGUAUCUUGUAUCCUUUUUUUAGUUAAUUCGCAAAUAAAAAUUAUGUAAACAAUUAUUUGUUUACUUUUUAUUAGUAAUAAUGGGAGAUGGCCAGGUCAUGGAUCAUUUCAUGAUGAAUGAACAUGCCCUCCGUUGAUGAAACACAUUCCUGUUCGUGAGAGGUGACAUCCUUGAAAAAUGUAACUCGCACUUGUUGCAUCGUUGCGUGUAGGUAUAAUACACAAAUUAUGUAAGUGAUGUAAUAAAAUUCUUCCUACUGGCUCCUAAACUUGACAAAAUUACUUGAACUUACAGUAAUUACAUAUGAAA